GUUUAAUGGAAAUGAAUUAUUGUGGUAUCUGUGCAGUCUCUUAAAUCCAUAUGUUAAUAUUCAUACAUUCUGCAUGCAUAUGAUCAUACUAGAGCAGUAUUAAUUGCUUGGGUUUAUAGCUCAAUCGAGUGGCUUUUUAGUUCAUUAUUAUAAAUUGGCUUACUGUGUCAUUUUUGUGAGUUUCCUACAUCAUUUGCAUUAUCAGGAGUUAAACUUUGCUUAAUUAUGCAUUUUUUUACUUGUAUUAAUCCUAGUGUAAAUUUUUGCAGCACUUCCAAUAUCAUCUCUCUUU
rnacentral:misc_RNA from 1 species